rnacentral:rRNA from 1 species
UACGGGGGGGGCAAGCGUUGUUCGGAAUUACUGGGCGUAAAGGGUUCGUAGGUGGCUUGCUAAGUCAGACGUGAAAUCCCUCAGCUUAACUGGGGAACUGCGUCUGAUACUGGCGAGCUUGAGUGCAGGAGAGGAACGCGGAAUUCCAGGUGUAGCGGUGAAAUGCGUAGAUAUCAGGAGGAACACCGGUGGCGAAGGCGGAUCUCUGGGCCUUACCUGACGCUGAGGCGCGAAAGCUAGGGGAGCGAACAGG